rnacentral:rRNA from 1 species
UGGGGAAUUUUGGACAAUGGGGGCAACCCUGAUCCAGCCAUCCCGCGUGUGCGAUGAAGGCCUUCGGGUUGUAAAGCACUUUUGGCAGGGAAGAAACAGCCUGGGCUAAUAUCCCGGGCGACUGACGGUACCUGCAGAAUAAGCACCGGCUAACUACGUGCCAGCAGCCGCGGUAAUACGUAGGGUGCAAGCGUUAAUCGGAAUUACUGGGCGUAAAGCGUGCGCAGGCGGUUCGGAAAGAAAGGUGUGAAAUCCCAGGGCUUAACCUUGGAACUGCACUUUUAACUACCGGGCUAGAGUACGUCAGAGGGGGGUAGAAUUCCACGUGUAGCAGUGAAUGCGUAGAGAUGUGGAGGAAUACCGAUGGCGAAGGCAGCCCCCUGGGAUGAUACUGACGCUCAUGCACGAAAGCGUGGGGAGCAAACA